UACGUAGGUGGCAAGCGUUGUCCGGAUUUAUUGGGCGUAAAGAGCGUGUAGGCGGCCGUACAGGUCAGCUGUGAAAACUCGAGGCUCAACCUCGAGACGUCGGUUGAAACCGUACGGCUAGAGUCCGGAAGAGGAGAGUGGAAUUCCCGGUGUAGCGGUGAAAUGCGCAGAUAUCGGGAAGAACACCCGUGGCGAAGGCGGCUCUCUGGGACGGUACUGACGCCGAGACGCGAAAGCGUGGGGAGCGAACAGG
rnacentral:rRNA from 1 species